GGGGGUAUAUCAUAGUGGUAGGGCAUUCGACUGCAGAUCGAGAGGUCUCCUUUUUAAACCCGGGUGCCCCCU